AGCCCUUUGGCGAAGUGGAUAUCGCGUCUGCCUCCGGAGCAGAAGGUCCCAGGUUCGACCCCUGGAUGGGUCG